rnacentral:rRNA from 1 species
AAAUCUGGCUCUUUCAGAGUCCGAGUUGUAAUUUGAAGAAGGUAUCUUUGGGUCUGGCUCUUGUCUAUGUUUCUUGGAACAGAACGUCACAGAGGGUGAGAAUCCCGUGCGAUGAGAUGAUCCAGGCCUAUGUAAAGUUCCUUCGAAGAGUCGAGUUGUUUGGGAAUGCAGCUCUAAGUGGGUGGUAAAUUCCAUCUAAAGCUAAAUAUUGGCGAGAGACCGAUAGCGAACAAGUACAGUGAUGGAAAGAUGAAAAGAACUUUGAAAAGAGAGUGAAAAAGUACGUGAAAUUGUUGAAAGGGAAGGGCUUGAGAUCAGACUUGGUAUUUUGUAUGUUACUUCUUCGGGGGUGGCCUCUACAGUUUAUCGGGCCAGCAUCAGUUUGGGCGGUAGGAGAAUUGCGUUGGAAUGUGGCACGGCUUCGGUUGUGUGUUAUAGCCUUCGUCGAUACUGCCAGCCUAGACUGAGGACUGCGGUUUAUACCUAGGAUGUUGGCAUAAUGAUCUUAAGUCGCCCGUCUUG